GACUCUGUAAUACUGUAAAUGAUCAGUGACUCAGGUGUGGGGAUAAUAUGUAAGACUGCAGUGAAGCGAUGUACCAGAUGAAUCCCUGGCCAAAGAACAGUUCGCCACAGUCGCUGUCCACAUGGGUCAGUGGGACCAAGCAGCACUCUGCUAAUGUGUGGACUCUGACCAGCAACAUCCAGCAAGACCCAGGCAGCGUUUUCUAUCUCCCAGCUGGAGUUUUGUUUGUGACGGGAGAGUCAGAUUUUUGUUGAAGCUGGAGGAACAGCCUCACACUUGCAGAGGUUAAUACACGCUACUGAUCCCUGAUGGGAGAAUCAUCACCUCUGCCAACAAAGAAGCCUGGUGGAUGUUUGUUUGCAGUCUGAUGAUGGGACAUCAUGCUCUGCAUCUUCAAAGUUUGUCUCUUGAUUAUUAUUCAUACACAGUAAUGUGAAGUAUGCUCAUAUCUAGUAUAACUGGACCAACCUGGUGCUCUUCAUUUAUGGAGGCUGUUGAGUCUGAAUGUUGGAUGUUGUGUAUCUCGUGUUCUCUGGGCUUUGUUGUCCUCAGUCUUUUUGCAGGAUCAGAAAACAAAACCAGGAGGCCUGUAAAUGUUUCU